rnacentral:rRNA from 1 species
CCUACGGGUGGCAGCAGUCGAGAAUCUUUCACAAUGGGGGAAACCCUGAUGGUGCGACGCCGCGUGGGGGAAUGAAGGCCUCCGGAUUGUAAACCCCUGUCAUGUGGGAGCACAUUCAAAAGAUAGUACCACAAGAGGAAGAGACGGCUAACCCGGUGCCCGCCGCCGCGGUAAUACAGAGGUCUCAAGCGUUGUUCGGGAUCACUGGGAGUAAGGGGUGCGUAGGCGGUAUGGUAAGUCGUGUGUGAAAGGCGCGGGCUCAACCCGCGGACGGCCGAUGAAACUGGGAGACUGGAGUGAGUGAGGGGGAAGCGGAAUUCCGGGUGUAGGAGUGAAAUGCGUAGAUAUCGGGAGGAACACUCGUGGCGAAGGCGGGUUCCUGGACAUUAACUGACGCUGAGGCACGAAGGCCAGGGGAGCGAAAGGGAUUAGAUACCCGAGUAGUC